GCCGCCAUAGCUCAGUCGGUUAGAGCGUGGGUCUAUAAGCCCAAGGUCGCAGGUUCGACCCCUGCUGGCGGCA
rnacentral:tRNA from 1 species